rnacentral:rRNA from 1 species
UAGUAUAGGCUAAUCUAGUACCUUUUGCAUAAGGGUUUUUCAAGAAAAUUUACUUAUGUAUUUUCCCGAAAAGGAAGAAGCUAUCGUUGUGAGUGUGAAUACCGUGGUAAAGUUAUGACCAACUAUACGAUAAAAGCUAGAUACUAAUUGCCUUCUUUGAUAUCUGGUUGAUCUAAAGAUAUAUUUAGUAUAUGCCACUCUGUUGAGUGGAUUCGAUGCGUUUGGGCUAAGCUGAGCGUAUUAUACAAUGAACUGUAGUUAAAGUACGUCGAUUUAAUAGGCUUCGUAUUAGUCACUUUUAGUUUGUUACAAAUAAGUUAGUUCGGUUAAGAAAUUACUUUACAAGACUCAUUGAAUUCUAUAGAUCUAUUUUUAGUGUAAAAAGGAAUAAUGAUAAAAAUGAGUAGAACAUUGAUUUUAUUGUAUGAGCUGUAUACUGAGAAAGCUUGUUUUAUAGCUAAAAUUAUUUUAAUCUCUCUAUAAUGAACUCGGCAAAGUGUUAUCUGCGACUGUUUAACAAAAACAUUUCCUCUUGUAAUCAUGGGAGGUAGGCCCUGCCCGGUGCGAAAGUAAACGGCGGCCUUAGCGUGAGGGUCCUAAGGUAGCAUGAUAAGUCGGCCUUUAAUUGGGGUCUGGUAUGAAUGGGUUAACGUUGGAUAAGCUGUGUCAUAGAGAACUACUGAAAUUAAUUUUUAAGUGAAGAAGCUUUAAUGAGAAAAAAAGACGACAAGACCCUACGAAGCUUUAUCGUAGUUGUAUAUCAAUUCCGGCCCUACGGGCAACCUUCGACCCUUUGGGGAUCGUUGGUUCGGUAGAGUUAUAGGGUUCAUAUACAAAAUGAUUUUGUUGGGAGAACAGAGCGGAAAAUGUCCUGCUUAGACUAUAAAUUUACUUACUAGUAGCAACUAUUAUUAAUCUAUGGAAUGGCAAGCUACUCUAGGGAUAACAGCGCGAUCUUCUUUGAGAGCACGAAUUGAAAAGAAAGUUUGCGACCUCGAUGUUGGCUUUGGGUUACCUGAAGGUGAAGAGGCUUUCAAGCGUGGGUCUGUUCGACCUUUAAUUCCCAACAUGAGCUGAGUUCAGACCGGCGUGAGCUAGGUCAGUUUCUAUCUUUUUUAUAAAAUAGGGGGGUUUGGUACGAAAGGACUUCUCAACCGUGGAUUCCAUUUAUUGAAUCGUUAUUUGU